CAAAGAGGAAGGAGGAAGAGUUUUACUUGAUGCGGAUAUACACUGAAAAAUAAGUCAAGACCUCAUUUCACCAACAGUUAGGAUGGAGGACACAUCUCUACUCUGGCUGCUCUUUCUGACCUCACUGCUGAGCUGCCCAACAAACCAAGUCUCUCUGACUGUGAGUCCCAGCAGAUCUCAGAUGUUUAAAGAUGAAUCUGUCUCUCUGAGCUG